rnacentral:rRNA from 1 species
GACGAACGCUGGCGGCGUGCUUAACACAUGCAAGUCGAACGGAAAGGCCCUGCUUUUGUGGGGUGCUCGAGUGGCGAACGGGUGAGUAACACGUGAGUAACCUGCCCUUGACUUUGGGAUAACUUCAGGAAACUGGGGCUAAUACCGGAUAGGAGCUCCUGCUGCAUGGUGGGGGGUGGAAAGUUUCGGCGGUUGGGGAUGGACUCGCGGCUUAUCAGCUUGUUGGUGGGGUAGGGGCUGACCAAGGCUGUGACGGGUCGCCGGCCUGAGAGGGUGACCGGCCACAUUGGGACUGAGAGACGGCGCAGACUCCUACGGGAGGCAGCAGUGGGGAAUCUUGCACAAUGGGCGGAAGCCUGAUGCAGCAACGCCGCGUGCGGGAUGACGGCCUUCGGGUUGUAAACCGCUUUCGCCUGUGACGAAGCGUGAGUGACGGUAAUGGGUAAAGAAGCACCGGCUAACUACGUG